rnacentral:lncRNA from 1 species
GUCCUUAUUAAGUGCAUAUACUGAUCGAUAAGUUAACAGCAACAUAUAUGAUUUGCAAUUUGUAUCUUUUCUAUGUAACUAUAUUCACAUUAAACAUGUUAAACAAAGCAAUUAAAAAUAUAAAUCAUCUAACUGAAUGUGGUCAUAUAAUUAUGUUCAUUAGUGUCUAUCUUCCUUCUAAAUCAUUCGUGGUCCUAGCUCUAAACUAACCAUAAUAUUGUUUUUAAAAUUUUUAAAAAGCAGUAUGUGCUGCCUAUCGUGAGAUAGUAUGUAUAUGUCAAUAAAUAGCUCUUAGGUAGAACAAAUGCUUUUAGUGAUGACAAUCGUGAUGGUAUCAUUCAAUAUAUAUUAUAUCCUGACAUUGUUGUAUCAAUUUGUGUUGUUUAACUAACCUCUGAAUCAUGCUUUCCAUCAAAGGGAUCAACAAAAUAUAUUGUGUUUAUUUUAACAAAAUCGUUAUAAAGCUAUCUUAAAUAGUGAUGUUUGCGACUAAAUCCUGUUAAUUGUCAGGUAAACAUA